AGACCACACACUGCAGACAAACACCCUAAUUCCCAUCCCUCUUGCGGCGUGCUCCUCGGGGUUUUUUUGCCUUGCCGUCGUUCUCUCGGCGGCUUUGUUGCUGCCGCUUGUGAUUCCGAUCUGCGUUCUGAACUCCUCUAGAUUGGUCAACUAUACUUUGAUUUCGAGAUACAUUGUCGACUGUUACAUGCCCAUCCAACUCCGUGUUCAAAUGCAGCAUCAAGAACCUGCCCUCCUCUUCCUGAUAAAGAAUCCUCUGUUACUUGGCUCCUUGGAGAGUAUCUCAAAAGCAUCCAGCCUUAAGAUAUCCAACUGCUUCAGGGCAUCUGCCAUGGCUGUCUACUAGGUCAAGCUCAUUUGGCCACGGGGAGAGGAGCAUGAAUUUGAUGCUCCAGAAGAUACCUACAUUCUGGACUCAGCUGAGAGUGCUGGCAUUGACCUGCCUUACUCUUGCAGAGCUGGGGCAUGUUCUACAUGCGCUGGCCAGAUUGUGUCGGGUGCUGUUGAUCAGUCUGAUGGAUCCUUCCUUUGAUGAAUCACAGUUGGAGAAAGGUUACCUGCUGGCAUGCAUCUCGUAUCCAAGGGCAGAUUGUAUUAUCCACACACACAAGGAAAGCGAUUAAUCGCCCUCCAUCCGUUCGGCUGCUGUAGCUUCCUCUGGCUGCUGUUGGAUCAGGAAUAGUGAUCUCUUGUCAGGGAUUUCUCAUGGGUUUCGGUUGUCGCUGAGAGAAUUCUUUUGGAUGUCCUUUAAAAAUCUCAGUACCAAUGCUGAUACUGUAAAGUAUUGCUCUCUGAACUAUUGGUUCUGAUUUGAUUCAAUUUUUUAUCCUGCUUAAUUUCUCUCUUGUAUCUAUCUGCACAAACAUGAGCUCAGGUCUUCAGAUCUUGUUUGGUGUGUUGGAUCUUUGCGUGUAAUUGGUUAAAGCUUCGAUGAAUGGAAUGCUUGAUUGCAAACUAAA